GCAGGACGUUAUGUCCGGCAACUCAAAUGCGCAACUCUCACUUCCGAUUCGACCGUGAAAGUAUCGGGAACAGAAUUUAUUCUUAGUAUCGAAAAAUGGUCCGAGUUACAGCUUACGUUCACACACCGGUGUACAACUACAGCCACAAAUAUCGGAACUUAGACAAAAUGAGCAACGACGUGAAACAGUUUCUGGACGAAUACGAUCAGAUAAUUCUGCACAAGGAUAUCUACCGUGGAGUUUUCCACAGUUAUUUGCGGGAUAUACGUGCUCAAAUAAAAGUGCUACUACAAAAAUUUGAUGCCCAGCCGUACGAUGACGGUCGAGCAAAGUCGGAGAAGGAAUUAUUCUGCUGUGGGUUGGAGUUCCAUGAUGCUAGCGAAUUAAGGAAGCACUACCGCGCUGUACACAAUGGUCGCUUCGUUCGAUACACUAAUAUACUUGAGCUGAAAGCCGCACUAGCUAAAUUGGAUCAUAUGCGUCAUCGACUGAAAGAGUACAUAACUUUUGGACAGGAAUACACACUCAGUCUAUUAAUUGAUUUGAAAAGAAUGUUAAAAAAAAUAUCCAAUUCUCUCAAAUUUUAAUAAAAAGCUAGCUGAAAAUUCGAAAACAUUUUUUGUAUUCAGAUUACCAAUUUAAAUUACCCUGAGCCAGUAGCCACACGAACUGUCAAUCAACAGUAAAGUGCAUCACCUUGCAUUUUUCGCACUUUGCGGCGAACCGGAAUUAAACGACGAACGCGGAUCGUUCGAUCUUCCUACUCGCACAGCUUCCUUCGAAGGGUGAGAGUUUGGUGCUCGCACAGUUCGAGUCUAGCUUCGUUCGUUCUCGACGUGUGGUAGCCACACUGGUCAUUGCUCACAGAAAAUCCACAAUUUUCUGUAAGACCAUUUAUUUCUAUUUGCCAGAGAAGAUUUUAAUUCCAAAAUAGGUGGUAUACUAAAUUUGUGAAAAUGCAAAGAAUCGCUCAAAACAAAGAUAUUGAAAAGUUUAUCGCAGAAACUAAGUAUUUCUUGGAUGAGUUCGACUCGAUCAUCAGCCACUGGGAUUUGUCAGGAAAUUUCUUUCUGCACUACUUGAUCGAGAUCCAUGAGAGUGUGACGCAGCUCCUGGGAAAAUUCACCACCCUUUCGCUAGACGGUGUAGGAGGGCGUCAACAUGAAAACUUCUUUAAUCUGCAAUGCUGCGGGCAAGAAUUUCACAGUGUCAAGGAUCUGAGGCUGCACCAUCAUUCGUGUCGUCACAAGAAAUCGGGUUUCGAGGAAACAGACAACUGUGAGCUUAAAUCGGCUUUAGUCAAACUUGCUUUCUUCAACCGAAGGGUGAACGAAUAUCUACAGUACGGAACAUUUGCCGAUCGUUAUUUGUGUUUGUAUCUGAAAAAGAUUCUGAAAAAGAUAACGAUCACAUUGGACACGUUCACACUGUAAGAUCAACCUCAUCCACGAUUGGACAAUUAUAAUUAACUGUAAAGUGUAAGAUAAAAUAUGCAUGCACGUGGCCAAAAAGCAAAUGGAUAGAAUUGUAUGUCGAACUCGUAUUAAGUAAAUAAAAGCUAUUUCUAAUAAUAUCUCAAA